UGUGUGACUCCGUCCACGCUGCUGCUGUCCCCAAACUGCUCCUCAGAUUUUGCCCCUGGAUCGUAUGUCCCUGGAGCUAUGCUGCCAGAGUGUGCUAUGGGUUUAGUUUACAAGAGCAACAGAAGAUGAAUAAAUCUCCGGAGUUGGUGUCAUUUGGGCAUACGGCUGUGGACAUCACCUGGGAGGAGUGGCAGAACCUGAAUGAUGCUCAGAGGACUUUAUACAGGGAUGUGAAGCUGGAGACCUACAGCAACCUGCUGUCACUGAGUAAAACUCCCCAGUAACUUUCAGAACACUACAUUAACAAAGCUGAGUUGAUUGUCAAGUUAGAAGAAGGAGCAGAGCCAUGGACAAAUGAAGAAUGCCCAAACAAGAUCAUGCAAGGUUUGUGAGCAGAUAUUCGGCAGAAGCCAAGUAAAGCCCAUUAGAUGUUGGCAGUGUUCAGCUGCUUCUAGCAGUUUUCACCCCAAGUCCCAGACCUGAAAAUGGCACGUCUUCAAGCCCUUUAUUACAUAAUCAUCGAGGUUUGGUGACCCAUGGACAUCCCAAUAUUUUAUUUUGCUGAAUCUGUUUUAAAUGAACCCAAAAUCUAAUUCCUACAUUUGUCUUCUUUGACAUUUAUUUUUCCUAUUUGCUUUCUCAAUGUUUUCAGAUGCACUUGUGUCCUCAAUUCUCAUGUACAUUUUUUCAUACUCUAUCUGUUUUCUGUUGCUUGUAACAGAAUACCUGC